UUGGCGAAUGCUGGCGGGCUGGCGGAAUAAGCUUGUCCGGGCCAUAACUAUGUCGUUCAUUGUCAGAUUUUAAAAUCAUUUGGCACAUUUGUUCACCAUCAUUGGACGGUGUGUCGCGCGAAAUAAUUACGUCGAUAUCUCCAAGGUCAAGGUCACACUUUGAGUUCAAAGGUCAAAAAUGGCCAUAAAUGAGCUUGUCCUGGCCAUAACUAUGUCAUUCAUUGUGAGAUUUUAAAAUCAUUUGGCACAUUUGUUCACCAUCAUGGGACGGUGUGUCCCACGAAAGAAUCACGUCAAUAUCUCCAAUGUCAAGGUCGCCACGACUAAAAAUAGAUUUAAAAAAAAAAAAAAAAUUACAAAGGGGGUUAAUUUUUUUUGGUCAUUUCAAAAGUUCA